AUCAAAUUACGUUAUAUUUCCUUGUUAUGAAGGUUGAUAUUUGGUUCAGGUAAGAUUGAGAUUUUCAAUUAAUAUUGUUUACAUUUUCACAUACACAGUUGACAGUUUAUAUAAUUAAUAAAAGCUGUCAACAUGUUCUAGAAAUAUGACUCUACUGAUUUAAACUUAUUUUAAAACGUUUGUCUUGAUAAGCACGUAGAGACAAUGCAUGUAUUGUAAUAAAAAAAAAAUAUUACCCCAAAAUAGAUGAUUUGAUAAUGGUUUUAAAGCAAUUGAAUUUAUUUAAGCAGAUAGAUAUAAUAUCAUUAGAUUUUUGUUUAUAGUACAGCAAAUUUAAUUGAUAAUGUCGAUUUAACGUGUAACUGUGUAACACGUGCAAGGGCAAAAAUGCUAUUUAUAUGUUACACUGAACUAAGCAAAUACUGCACUGUUUUUAACGAUAAGGUGAAUUGGACUUAUAUUUUUUAGCAUUAUACUCGGGUUUUUUUUCUCUCUAAAUUAUAGGGUAAAAAGUGCGGAAUAAACUGCAAUCAAAUAUAGAAAAAAAGUCGAUAUCUCAGGUUAUAACGGCAAUGUUAAAAUGCUAUUGAUAAACUACACUUAACUAAGCAUGUAUUGUACAUUUAUUAAACAUCUGAUUGUAAUUUAUGGUGAAUGAAGAAUUGUAUCGGUCUUCAGCGUGUUACUUAAUUCAAAGCCGAAAUAGAAUUAAUCAUUCGUUUCCUCAAAAAUAAAAACGUAAAGAUUUAAGAAUAUAAAGAAUAUAGACAAAUAGGUAAUAAAUUAGGAAUAGAGAAUAAUGAUGUGUAUAGGAUAGUGAAAAAAAAUAGAAAUAGAAAAAGAAAAUGAGAAAUAAAAUUAAACAUAAAGAAAUGGAGAACCUCCAUCCCGACCCUCAUAAACUGACUGACGGAAACUUUGGCAGACUUUAAACUAUCUGCUACAAGUGACUGUCAGCUUGUGUAUAGAACCAACAAUACAAAUUCUGAAAACCUUUUAGGUGUCUGUUUUCGUUAUUUUGUGAUUGAUAUUAGCUCUUUUGUUAUUGAGUAGGCCAGACACGGUUUUUGUCUUAAAAAUACAAGAAACAGUGACGUUUAAAAAAGUUAAAAAACAAAAACAAAGAUGCAGUACAUUGAGGACUAAAAAAUGUAAACAGUUUUUGCCAGAUGAAGAUAUUUUGAAUACAAAUUCUGACAGUGUUUAAACCAGAAUAAUGAAACUAUUUCCAGAGUAUAAAAUUUUUAGUAUUCAUAGGAUUCAAAGAUUUGUUACCAUUCAAGUAAUAACUCAUGUUAAUUGAUUGUUCGAAUUCCGCUCACCAUAGAAAGGAAAUAAAUAUAUAUAAAGUAACUUUGGUUUGGGUUUUUUUUUUUUAGUUUUUAAGCAUUUUUUUCACUAUUCUUUAUAAUGUUUGCUCGAUUUUCUACCAGCCCAUUCUUUUUCUUUUUUUCCUUUUUUACUAUUUUAAUCUGUUCUGUAAAUAGUUUUUACAUAAUGUCUAUAACUCUUUAAUCACCAUCCGGACACUUUUAAUAUAUUCAAACUUUUAAUAAGUAUUAAAACCUGUAUCGGCAGACAAGGUCGUACAACAAUCGGAAGUGGAAAAUAACGCAACACAAAUGUCACAUAAUGGCCAAAACGAAAAGCACAAUUCGCAUUGAAAAUUUCAACCGUUAAUGGAAAUGCACAAACCUAGCAAAUAUGAUAAAAUUUGGCAUUGUAUGAUGACACUUCAUGAAUUAAAUGGGUUAUAUGAUAAACGUGAAUGGGACAGCAAACAAACAACACAAUGAUAAGAUAACAUGCAGAGGUAUUUUGUCAAUUGUAAUAUUACAUUUUUUAUAGGUUGUAAUUUAUGGUGAAUGUACAAUUAAAUCAGUCUUCCGCAUGUUACUCCUAAGCCAUAAUAAAAUUAAUCAGUUGGUUCCUCAAAAAUAAAACGGUAAGAUUUAAGAAUAUAAAGAAUAUAGAAAAGUAGGGGAUAAAGAAGAAAUAGAGAAUAAUGAUUUGCUGAAAUAUAUAGGAUAGUGAACAAAUAUAAAAAUAGGAAAAGAAAAUGAAAAAAAAUAAAUAAACAUAAAGAAAUGAAGGAUCUCCAUCCCGACCCUCAUAGACUGACUGACGGAAAGUGUGGCAGAAUUUAAACUAUCUCCUAAAAGUGACUGUGCGCUUGAUUAUAGGGCCAUCAAUACAAGUUCUGAAAUCUUCUAGGUGUCUGCUUUCGUUAUUUUGUGACUGAAAUUAUCUCUCUUGUUAUUGUGUAGGCAAGAUACAUUUUUGUCUUCAAAAUAUAAAAACCAGUGACGUUAAAAAAAGUUAAAAGAAAAAAACAAACAAAAUUGAAGUACAUUGAGGACCAAAAAUUGUCAACAGUUGUUGGCAGAUAUAGACAAUCAGCAUUUAAAUCAGAUUAAGGAAACUAUUUCCAGAGUAGAAUAUUUUUAGCAUUUCAUUGGAUUCAAAGUUUUGUUACCAUUUCCAUAAUUUCAUUGAUAACUCAUAUCAACAUGAUAUUCUGACCUCUAUGCAAAUGUCAAAUUAAUGUCAUUUUCUUAUUACAUUCCACACUGUUGUGACCGAUCAAGUCCUCUAGACUUACAAUGAUUAAGAGCUUGUCUUUAACUUUUGGUGUGUAUGCCUCCGUCGUAUCGGAGGUGGCAUUAUGUUUUGCGCUUGUUCGUCUGUACGUACGUCCGUCCGUACAUCUCAAAGUUGGUUUCCGUUCUCUUACUUUAGUUUACCUCACCAAAUGUUAUGAAAUUUAUACGGAAUGCUCAUUUACACAAAACACAGAUCAAGUUUGAAUUUUGGAGGUGUCAUUUCAAUCGUUCAAGAGUUAUGUUCCUUUACAAAUGGCAAAAUUGCUGAUUUUUUUGUUUCCGUUCUCUUUCGUAAGUUUGCCGCAACCAAAUGUUAUGAAACUUAUACACAAUGCUUAUUAUCACAAAACACAGAUCCUGUUUAAUUCUGGAGGUGUCAAUCUAAACGUUCCAAAGUUACGCCCCUUGACAAUUGGUAGAAUUGCUGAAUAUUCCGUUUCCGUAUUCUAACUUUAUUUUGCCUCAACCAAAUGUUAUGAAACUUAUACACAAUGCUUACUACCACAAACAACAGAUCAGUUUUUGUUGUCACUUUAACUGUUCUAAAGAAAUGCCUUUAAAAAAUGGUAAAAUUACUGAUCUUUUUUUAUAUCUGUUUGCCUCAACCAAAUGUUAUGAAUCUUUUACACAAUGCUUAGUACAGCAAAACACAUAUCAAGAUAUUGGUGGUAUCACUUUUACUGUUCUAGAGCUAUGCCCCUUUAUCAAAGAAAAAAAUGCUGAAUUUUUCGUUUCUGUUCUGUAACUUAAGUUUGCCUCAACCAAAUGUUAUGAAACUUUUACACAAUGCUUAUUACCACACAACACAGACCAAGUUGGAAUUUUAGAGGUGUCACUUUUACUGUUCUAGAAUUAGGCUCUUUACAAAAGGUAAAAUUGCUGAAUUUAUGGUGUAUGUUCUCUAACUUAAGUUUAUAUGAACGAACUGUUAUUAAACUUAUACACAUUACUUAUUACCACAAAACUCCAAUCAAGUACCCAUUUGGGAACGCCAAUUUUAACGUUCUUUAGAUUUGUCCCCUUAUAACUAUAUAUGAUACGCAAAUAAACUCAUCAUAGAUACCUGGAUUAAAAUUUUAUGUUUACGCCAGACGCGCGUUUCGUCUACAAAACACUCAUCAUUGAGGCUCGAAUAAAAAAAAAAUUAAAAGGCCAAAUGAGGUACGAAGUUGAAAAGCAUUUAGGAAAAAAAAUUGAAGCGGGUGCAUCAUCUGUGUCCCUUGGACCCAUCCCCUGUUUUCGUUAUUUAGUGGUGAUGGUAAAUUGUUUUUGUAUGUUUAUGAAACAGUGUACUGUCGGGAAGCAGUUGAUGUGUUGUCAGUCUUUACUUGAUUUUCUUUAGGGGCAGUCUUAAACAAAACAAGCAGGCAGCUUCCUGGAGUGGCAAGUAGAGUUUUCCCUGUUUUACGAAACAUUUGCUAUAUCUAAUGUGUAUUUUCUAACGUGUUGGUUGAUAGUGUUGUUGGAAAGUCAGGUCUUGGUUGUUAGUGUUGUCGGGGGUGUCGGUGUUGGUGGUAAGUGUUGUCAGAGAAGUUUGGUGUUCGUGGUAAGUGUUGUCGAUUUUUGUUGGAUAUUGGUGAUUAAUAUUGUCGGAGGGGUCGGGUGUUAGUGAAAAGUGUUCUCUAAUAAGGCCGAGGAGUCAUAUUACAGCUUAGUAUUUAUGAUGUUAUGAUAAAAAUGUAUAUUGAUACAUAUUUCAGGUAAUCACCAUGGCUUCUAGUACAACUCUUUGUGGUCCAUGUUCACAUGCUCCACGUGUUCACCCGUCGUGUUUGCUUAUGUGCUUACAAAUCGGUAAAUAGUCUAUUCGGUAGGUCAUAUUCAUGAAAGGGAAGGGGAUUAUAGUUACGACGUAAGGAACAUAUCCGAUAUCAUUUGUGAAACGGUUAUUCCAUAACGGUCAACCAUUCGUGAUGGCGUCCGAAAAUUUACGAAGGGAUGAUUUCAACUUCACCAUUUGGAACUCUUGGUUUAAUAACUUCCUUGUGAGCAGCAAACCUCUAUCAAGAAAAUCAUGAUAGGAAAUGCAAGCACGGGAAUAUCGUAUCAAUUGGGAGAUAUAUACCCCGUAUGUAGGUGCUGCUGGAAUGUUGCUACUUAGAAAUGGAAAGUUCACAAUUGGAAAGCUGAAAUCAUCUCUUUUGUCGUAAAGUUUUGUUUUCAACCGACCCUCAUUGUCAAUUUCUAGAUGUAAGUCAAGAUAUGAAGCCGACUUUUUAAUGUACAUAUGUUGCAAAAACAAGUGUAUUGUGUUAAAAAGGGUAGUUAAUUCUAAUAUAAAUUAAACAGAUGCGGUAUAAUUGCUAAUAAGACAACAUUUCAUAUAACGUUGGUUUAUGCAAUUAUAUGCAAGCGUAUUGCCUUUAACAAUGAACUAAACCCAUAUUGGAUGGUUUGCUAGUAAAUUUAUAUUUUCGACCAUCAUAUCGCUUGAUCCUUUUAAAUACAAUACAGUUAUCUCUGUAAUCGAUUGUGAUCUUUCACCUCGGGAAUCACACCUGUAGAUAAUUGUUUUAUAAAAGAUGAUUCAAUAAAAGAGGUUGAGUUGAAAGCUGAAGUAUUUUCUUUUUUUUAAGUCUUGAGCAGUUCAGUAAAAGGAAUGAGUCAACCGAAUUUUAUAAUGCUUACAACAAAAUUAUUAACAUUCAUUGUGUUAUCCAAAGAUUUAAAUGUAUUCGUACAUCUUUGACUUCAAAAAAUUAUAUACUUUAUCAAGUGCUAUUUUCAUUAUAUUAUAUAAAGUGCCUUCGAAUUUUAAAUCGAGUUAGUGCAUCAGUUUGGUCUGUUAUGUCGUAUUAAUAAUAUCAAAGACAGUAAUUAUGAGUUCGUUAUUUUUUUAAGAAAUCUUUGAUUAUACGUUUGCCUCACAAAUGUAAAUUCUUUACACAAUGCUUAGUACAACAAAACACAUAUCAAGAUGUUGGUGGUAUCACUUUUACUGUUCUAGAGCUAUGCCCCUUUAUCAAAGAAAAAAUGCUGAAUUUUUCUUUUCUGUUCUGUAACUUAAGUUUGCCACAACCAAAUGUUAUGAAACUUUUACACAAUGCUUAUUACCACACAACACAGACCAAGUUGGAAUUUUAGAGGUGUCACUUUUACUGUUCUAGAAUUAGGCUCUUUACAAAAGGUAAAAUUGCUGAAUUUAUGGUGUAUGUUCUCUAACUUAAGUUUAUAUGAACGAACUGUUAUUAAACUUAUACACAUUACUUAUUACCACAAAACUCCAAUCAAGUACCCAUUUGGGAACGCCAAUUUUAACGUUCUUUAGAUUUGUCCCCUUAUAACUAUAUAUGAUACGCAAAUAAACUCAUCAUAGAUACCUGGAUUAAAAUUUUAUGUUUACGCCAGACGCGCGUUUCGUCUACAAAACACUCAUCAUUGAGGCUCGAAUAAAAAAAAAAUUAAAAGGCCAAAUGAGGUACGAAGUUGAAAAGCAUUUAGGACAAAAAAUUGAAGCGGGUGCAUCAUCUGUGUCCCUUGGACCCAUCCCCUAUUUUCGUUAUUUAGUGGUGAUGGUAAAUUGCUUUUGUUUUGAGUCGAGUUGAUGUGUUGUCAGUCUUUACUUGAUUUUCUUUAGGGGCAGUGUUAAACAAAACAAGCAGGCAGCUUCCUGGAGUGGCAAGUAGAGUUUUCCCUGUUUUACGAAACAUUUGCUAUAUCUAAUGUGUAUUUUCUAACGUGUUGGUUGGUAGUGUUGUUGGAAAGUCAGGUCUUGGUUGUUAGUAUUGUCGGGGGUGUCGGUGUUGGUGGUAAGUGUUGUCAGAGAAGUUUGGUGUUCGUGGUUAGUGUUGUCGAUUUUUGUUGGAUAUUGGUGAUUAAUAUUGUCGGAGGGGUCGGGUGUUAGUGAAAAGUGUUCUCUAAUAAGGCCGAGGAGUCAUAUUACAGCUUAGUAUUUAUGAUGUUAUGAUAAAAAUGUAUAUUGAUACAUAUUUCAGGUAAUCCCCAUGGCUUCUAGUACAACUCUUUGUGGUCCAUGUUCACAGCGACACAUAACCAAACCAUCUGAAUACUGGUGCGCGGAAUGUGAGGAAGCCAUUUGUGAUGACUGCAGAGAACAUCAUAAAGUGUUUAAAGCAACACGAAGUCACGAACUCAUGUCAAUAGACAAGUACAAAUCUCUUCCGUCCUUCAUUACUGAUAUACAUCAGUCAUGUACCUAUCACAAUGAAAAGUAUCAGCAAUACUGCAUUGAGGAUGCGUUACCUAUUUGUUUCAAAUGCAUUAAAGAACACCAGAAAUGCAACGUUAUUCCUCUUGACGAAGUCACUAAUAAUGCUAAGACAUCCGGGCACUUACAAGAUUUAGAAACAAGACUUAUAGACUUAUUACACAACAUUGAUGGCAUCCAGAAGGACCGAAAGGCUAAUUUGGUCAGUAUUGAAAAAAUGAAGGAGGGACAUCUAACAGAAAUUAAACAAAUCAGAAACCAAAUUAACAAACAUUUAGACAAACUUGAAAAAGAAAUAAAACAAGAUCUUGAGAAAAAAGAGGGUCAAUGCAAGAAGAGUAUUCAGAGUAUUUUAUCAUCAGUUGAAGAAAAGAAAAAAAUUGAUAACAGAAUAUCAGACCAAUCUUCAAAACAUCAAACAAAAUGCGUCUGGUCUUCAAACAUUUCUUCUAAUGAGAAAUAUUGAGAUGAAAGUUUUUGAAAAUGAACAAUAUUUACAAUCCUUGGUUGAAACUGACCAAUUUGAACCAGUUGAACUCGUUUUUAAAGUAGAACCAGGGGUGCUUAGUGUCUUAGACAGUUUGAAGAAUUUUGGAUCAAUUGAAAUAAAAAAGACGUCGAGUAGCAUUCGUUUAAUCAGAGAGAAAGAUAAACAAGCACAGUUGCAAGUAACGCCAACGAAGACCAUAGACGACUUGAAGUUGAUUCUACAAAAGACAAUUACAACAGGCGGGGG
rnacentral:lncRNA from 1 species